rnacentral:rRNA from 1 species
AUGCAAGUCGAACGCGAACGGCUCCUUCGGGAGCCUAGUAGAGUGGCAAACGGGUGAGUAACGCGUGGGUAACGUACCCUGAUCCUGGGAAUAACCCUCGGAAACGAGGGCUAAUACCGAAUGUGGCGAACGACCGGUUGGUCGCUCGCUAAAGGUGGCCUCUUCUAUGCUGCCGGGUUGGGAUCGGCCCGCGUCCCAUUAGCUAGUUGGUGAGGUAACGGCUCACCAAGGCCACGAUGGGUAGCCGGCCUGAGAGGGUGUACGGCCACACUGGCACUGAGACAAGGGCCAGUCCCCUAUGGGAGGCGCAGGCGGGAAUAGUUCACAAUGGGCGAAAGCCUGAUGACGCGACGCCGCGUGAGCGAAGAAGACCUUCGGGUUGUAAAGCUCUGUCAGGAGGGAAGAAGGCUCUACGGGUUAAUAGCCCGUGGAAUUGACGGUACCUCCAGAGGAAGCCCCGGCUAAAUACGUGCCAGCAGCCGCGGUAAUACGUAUGGGGCAAGCGUUGUCCGGAUUUACUGGGCGUAAAGGGCGCGUAGGCGGUUUGUUAAGUCGAAGGUGAAAUCCUCGGGCUCAACUCGAGAAUUGCCUUCGAUACUGGCAAACUAGAGUGGCGGAGAGGAAAGCGGAACUCUUGGUGUAACGGUGGAAUGUGUAGAUAUCAAGAGGAACACCGGUGGCGAAGGCGGCUUUCUGGACGCACACUGACGCUCAGGCGCGAAAGCGUGGGUAGCAAACAGGAUUAGAUACCCUGGUAGUCCACGCCAUAAACGAUGGGUACUAGGUGUCGGGGGUGUCGACCCCUCCGGUGCCGCAGUUAACGCACUAAGUACCCCGCCUGGGGAUUAUGGUCGCAAGGCUGAAACUCAAAGGAAUUGACGGGGCCCCGCACAAGCGGUGGAGCAUGUGGUUUAAUUCGACGCAACGCGAAGAACCUUACCUGGGCUUGACAUGCUUGGGACAGCGCUGGAAACAGCGUCUCUCCUUCGGGAGCCCCUGCACAGGUGCUGCAUGGCUGUCGUCAGCUCGUGUCGUGAGAUGUUGGGUUAAGUCCCGCAACGAGCGCAACCCUCGUUACUAGUUGCCAUCAGUUC